rnacentral:rRNA from 1 species
GGAGGCAGCAGUGGGGAAUUUUCCGCAAUGGGCGCAAGCCUGACGGAGCAACGCCGCGUGAGGGACGAAGGCCUCUGGGCUGUAAACCUCUUUUCUCAAGGAAGAAGACAUGACGGUACUUGAGGAAUAAGCCACGGCUAAUUCCGUGCCAGCAGCCGCGGUAAUACGGGAGUGGCAAGCGUUAUCCGGAAUUAUUGGGCGUAAAGCGUCCGCAGGCGGCCUUGAAAGUCUGUUGUUAAAGCGUGGAGCUCAACUCCAUUUCAGCAAUGGAAACUACAAGGCUAGAGUGUGGUAGGGGCAGAGGGAAUUCCCGGUGUAGCGGUGAAAUGCGUAGAUAUCGGGAAGAACACCAGUGGCGAAGGCGCUCUGCUGGGCCAUAACUGACGCUCAUGGACGAAAGCCAGGGGAGCGAAAGGGAUUAGAUACCCCUGUAGUCCUGGCCGUAAACGAUGAACACUAGGUGUCGGGAGAAUUAACC